rnacentral:rRNA from 1 species
CGGCCGCGUCGACGGCUGCCGUUUACUGGGGCUUCAAUUCGCGGCCGCGUCGACGCACCGGCUAACUUCGUGCCAGCAGCCGCGGUAAUACGAAGGGUGCAAGCGUUAAUCGGAAUUACUGGGCGUAAAGCGCGCGUAGGCGUUCGUUAAGUUAGGAGUGAAAGCCCCGGGCUCAACCUGGGAAUUGCUUCUAAAACUGGCGGGCUAGAGUAUGGUAGAGGGUGGUGGAAUUUCCUGUGUAGCGGUGAAAUGCGUAGAUAUAGGAAGGAACAUCAG